rnacentral:rRNA from 1 species
CCUACGUGAGGCAGCAGUGGGGAAUAUUGCGCAAUGGGCGAAAGUCUGACGCAGCGACGCCGCGUGAGGGAUGAAGGUCCUCGGAGUGUUAACCUCUGUCAGCAGGGGAGUACGGUCACUGUGCUAUUCAGCAGUGUAUUGACGGUACCUGCAAGGGAAGCAUCGGCUAACUCCGUGCCAGCAGCUGCGGUGAAACGUAGGGUGAGUGUGGUAAUUGGAAUUACUGGGCGUAAAGCGAUCGUAGGCGGUAUGUCAAGUCAAGGGUGAACUCCCCGGGCUCAACGUGGGAACUGCAUUUGAGACUGGCAAGCUGGAGUGUGUGAGAGGAAAGUGGAAUUCCUGGUGGAGGAGUGAAAUGCGUAGAUAUCAGGAAGAACAUCAGUGGCGAAGGCGACUAACUGG